GCCCUUAUAGCUCAGUGGUAGAGCGCGUCACUAGUACUAGCACCUCGAGAAGUCGAGUGGGUAUGACGAGGUCGUAGGUUCGACUCCUACUGAGGGCA